UUGAACAAGUAGGAGCACCCGCUUCUCGCCUCGUGACGAUUGCUGUUGCUAGGCAGAUACACGUUGUACUUUUUGUACAGUCAGGUAAAGUGGGUGAACUUCGGUUUGCCCAUUUUUUCUUCGUUGU
rfam:Fructobacillus sp. EFB-N1 FEFB_c000001, whole genome shotgun sequence.